rnacentral:lncRNA from 1 species
AAUAACCUUAGGGCCAGAGCUUUGAAAUGAGACUAUUGCAAUCUGGCCCAUCUGAUUAGUACAACUGCCAAUCCAAAGAAAACCAUGUUCCAUGGAACAGGAAUCCGAAUCCGUUUCUCCAGAGAGGUACAGUUCAGGAUUAUAAGCGGCACAUUCAAUCUUAAACUCCUGCUGUUUGGCCAUCAUCACUGGCAUGUGUCUAACAAGGAGAGGAUGUUUCUCCUUUUUGAUUUGAUUCCCAUCAUCUUCUACACAGAACCAACCUAACAGGUUAUCCUCCGCUGUAAUGGAAAGAACAAACA